GACGAACGCUGGCGGCGUGCUUAACACAUGCAAGUCGAACGAAGUGGCGAACGGGUGAGUAACGCGUAAUCAACCUGCCCUUCAGAGGGGGACAACAGUUGGAAACGACUGCUAAUACCGCAUACUGAAGGAGGGGAUUGCGUCGGAUUAGAGAGGUGGAGGGGUAAAGGCCCACCAAGGCGAUGAUCAGUAGCCGGUCUGAGAGGAUGAACGGCACCAGUGGGACGGCGACACGGCCCAGACUCCGACGGGAGGCAGCAGGGGGGAAUCUUCCGCAAGGGACGAAAGUCUGACGGAGCAACGCCGCGUUAGUGAUGACGGCCUUCGGGUUGUAAAGCUCUGUUAAUCGGGACGCGGUACCGGAAUAGAAAGCCACGGCUAACUACGUGCCAGCCGCCGCGGUAAUAC
rnacentral:rRNA from 1 species